rnacentral:tRNA from 7 species
CGGGGUGUGGCGCAGCUUGGUAGCGCGCGUCGUUCGGGACGACGAGGUCGCAGGUUCGAAUCCUGUCACCCCGACCA